GAUGAACGCUGGCGGCGUGCCUAAUACAUGCAAGUCGAGCGAACAGAUAAGGAGCUUGCUCCUUUGACGUUAGCGGCGGACGGGUGAGUAACACGUGGGUAACCUACCUAUAAGACUGGAAUAACUCCGGGAAACCAGGGCUAAUGCCGGAUAACAUUUAGAACCGCAUGGUUCUAAAGUGAAAGAUGGUUUUGCUAUCACUUAUAGAUGGACCCGCGCCGUAUUAGCUAGUUGGUAAGGUAACGGCUUACCAAGGCAACGAUACGUAGCCGACCUGAGAGGGUGAUCGGCCACACUGGAACUGAGACACGGUCCAGACUCCUACGGGAGGCAGCAGUAGGGAAUCUUCCGCAAUGGGCGAAAGCCUGACGGAGCAACGCCGCGUGAGUGAUGAAGGUCUUCGGAUCGUAAAACUCUGUUAUUAGGGAAGAACAAAUGUGUAAGUAACUGUGCACGUCUUGACGGUACCUAAUCAGAAAGCCACGGCUAACUACGUG
rnacentral:rRNA from 1 species